rnacentral:lncRNA from 1 species
GGAAACCCGAUCCUCAAACCAAGGACAGCUUAAAGCCUGAGAUCCAAGCUGCCAGUUCCAGACAGAGUCCACAGCUGCAGUGAGAACUAUCCCUGUCUUACCCACUCUCUCUCAAUUGGUUCCUUCUGAAUGAUGCCCUUUAACCAAUCCAAUGGUGCUUUUUCCAAUACCACCCAUGGACCAAUCAGCAUGCACUUCCCCAUUCUAAGCCCAUAAAACCCCCAGGACUCAGCCUCACAGAUGGCUAACCGGCUUUCAGGUCCCCUCUGGCAGCUGGGAGUUUUCCUUCUAUAGCUCAAAAUUCUUUUCUGCCUUAUUUACUUUCUGGUGUCGACAUAUCUUAUUCCUUUGUUGCAGGACAAGAACUUGGAACUUGCUGAGCUGGGGAUGGUGGGAGUAAAAGAGUUGUAACCUUCCCUUCUGCUCCCCAAACAAUGUGAGAGAAGAAACCAUUGGACGCCACUCUCUCCUGUUAGCCCAACUGCCAGAGCGAAAAAGUUGUGACGUCACUGGCUUACCCAGCAAGCUAACUGUGGGAGGUGGGAGUAAAAGAGCUGUAACCUUCUCUCCCACUCGAGGAACUACCCUCCUGCUUGACAAAUUACAGGAGCGAAAAAGCCACGUAUCAGAGGAGACUUCAGGAAAAUUAAGCCUGACAGUCUCUCCAAACAACUUUGUGCACAUAUUAAGUAAAGGAGGAGGUACUGCUUACACCUAAAACCUAAUCUCAGAUGAAUUAUGGAGUGAAUAUAACUACUACUGAGCUAAAUGUUAAAAACAAAUGUGUAAGAUCUCAUAAAGACAAUACAUGCAAUAUUUCAUUUACACAUUACGUUUAUUAUUUAUGUGUGCAUCUAAUAUCUAACUGCUAAUCUCAGCUUUACCACAAUAUCUAAAAUAAGAGGUAAUUCUUUCAUCAUCUUGACCUUUUGGACAGUUUACCAUAAUCAUACACGAAAGAUUCAGUAAACUAUUUAGAUUUUCAGAAAAAGUAGUCAUAGAAUACAAAGCGGCAUUAACUAUCCAAGAGUAU